GGACUGAUCUCAAGAGGUCUACAUUUGGAAGGACAGGUGGUGACAGAAGGUGAGGACCUGCAGGUGCUUGUGACAUCGGUGCAAAAGAUCUCCUCCCUGCCUUACCUCAGAACAUCAGCAUUACUAGACCGACUGCAACGGAAUGUCUUGCACUCUCAGGUGAAUUUCAUUGCAGGCCAGUAUCAGUUAAGAAAAGCUUAAAAUCAUGAUGUUGUAACUUCUCACACCCUUCUGUGUGUCUUUCAGGAGGUUACCGAGAUGCUCAGUUCUCAUGAAGUGAAGCGUGAAGGACACCCUAAAGGUGCACGGCCCGCUUCCAAGGUUUUCAUACAGGCAUAUUCUCAGCCUGAAUCCCAAAUUGGAACCAUUCAACACCAUCAGAUUGAGACAUUUUCCAAAAGUUCCAUACUUUCUCCAGAGAACCCAGAAGAACCUCAAAGCCAAGAACUCUAUUCUUCCAAGCUGGAGUCUCAUUUGGAAGCCACCAGUGGCGUACAGCCCCAGGUUCUCCCCCAGGAUCAUGAUAAAUCUCCAAAAGACCAAAGAAAAACUAUAUGCCAAGUACAACAUGCAGAGCUCAAACAGCCUUUGCUGUCAUCUGUUGUUGGCAGGAAGGUUCAAAUGAAACCUCAGACCGAAGUUCAACUGAUCUCUGUAGACUCGAGCCUAACCAGUAGCUUUGGACCAUCAGACCUUCAAGCUGCCUUAGUAAACUCAAGCCAGAACAGACCCUUAGACCCUGUACAGGUUAUCUUUAUAGACCCAAUCCAUACCAGUGACUUCAGUCUAUCAGAGCUACAGGUUAUCUCAAGCCAGACCAGUGGAUUUAGACCAUUAGACUCUCUCCAAGUUAUAUCUCUAGAGUCAGGCCAAACCAGUGGCACUGAACAAUCAAACCCUCUGCAGUCUCCAUCUUCAACUAUGUCCAGCCCAAGCACAUCACUUACAUCGGUUACCAUGACUGAACUAAGAAUGCCAGUCGAGCAGCAUCUUGGUUCACCAUCAAAAUGGCAACCUCAAACCUCCUUGGUGACCCCACACCAAAGACAAAGGGUUCUGGUCAAAAGUCACAGUUUUCCUCAGCCCCAUGAGCCAUCACAAACUCUGCCUGUAACCUCUCUUGCAUCCUGCCCAACCACUUUGUAUACACCGGUAACAGUGACUCAACAAACAACACCAAUCAAGCAGCACCUUGGUUCACCACCAAAAUGGCAGCCUCAGACCUCCCUGAUGACCCUACACCAAAGACGAACUGUUCUAUCCAAAAGUCACAGUUUUCCACAGCCAUCAGAGGGACCAGGUGUUCCCCAUGUACCAGGACAGAAUGAGGUGUAUGCUAGAGCUCAGGCUUUGGCCAGGAGCAGACUGGAUAAAGCCAGAAAGCACCUGCAUGAACAUAUACAGGACGUAAUCUCUGUGAUAAGUGCAAGAGACAAAUCUAAAAAACAAGCCAAGAAAAAACAGACAGUGUCACGUCUUCUCAGGCCUGCAGUGUUGGAGAUGUUUCUAGAAGCUGUGAAGGGAAUGGGGGAUUUCUGCUCUGAUGCUCAGCUCAGAGACAUGGACCUCCUCUCUCAAUCAGUCAGGGCCCAGUGGGAGGUAAGAGAGAGAUCAUGGUCCUUCUAGCUUUGCAUUAGUGUAUGCUGUAAACACAAACCAUCAGAACUGGAUUGUUGUGAUUGGUUUAGGUAAUGCUUGCGAAUUACUAUUUAUAUUUAUACGCCAUUUAUGUUUUCCUGAAAAGUUUUAAAGGUGCAUUCUGUUUGGGCUUUAGUUAUCGUUAACAUUUUGGGUCACUUCAUUUUUGAACAUGGCAAAAUACAAUGGGGGUUGACCCACACAGUGCAUAAUUAAAACAUGUGGACAUGUAUGGACAUAGUUAUUAUUAUUAUUAAUAAAUCUUGAAUUAGGCAUGAAUAUGUUAUAACAUUACAGUUAUAUAUACUGAAAUGUGAUACAGUGCAUGUAUUUAAUCUAGUUUGUUUUUUGUUUACUAACCAUUGGUAUAUUCUGAUACUGGGUAGAUCAGCUGGCUGGAUUGACCAAUGCCACCAUGGUUCUUAUGUGACUUUGUCCCAGCAUUAAUGAUUAAAUCAUAGCAUCUUUUGAUGGAUCUACCAUAUACUGUAUAUCACCCUGUCCUGUUUAGUCAGUGCAAUUCUGUGUGUGUGCAGCUAACACAUUCCUUAAUCUACAAGCCUCUGCAUGUGAACAUAACUGCAUUAAGUCCAAAUUAGUCUUUUCUUUGCUCAGUACCUGUAACUUUUACUCGCUACAUGGAUGUUCCAUCAGUUUAUGAGGUUUAUUCCUGUCCAUCAAGUCUCUGAAAGUUCUUAAACCUUAUUUAGUAGUUUUUAUUUAAACCUCAGUUUUAUCAUUUUAUAAUCAUCAAGGGUUGAUUUUGUUGUAACUGGGAUCGUUUAUUGACUGCAUGCAUGUUUAGACAGGUUGAUAUAGAUGGUUACUUGUUUUCCUUUCAUCUAUAUAUCACAUUUUGCAUGCAUUUCUCUCUAGUCACAACCAGUUAGCCAAGUUAGCAAGCACUCUUUCGAAAUGGCCAUUAUGCAUACACUACAAAGACUCCUUUGCUGACCGAUAUUAACUCCCAUUAGCAUAAACCUUGAUGUUCAUCCCCAAACCGUGAUUGGAAUACAUUUUUUAAAUAUGUUUUGUGAUAGACAGAUUUUUAUUUCAUUAUAUCAUUAUUGUCAAAGAGUUUGGAAUUAGUUUGGUUUUGGUUUACACCUCAGGUAUGUGCCACAGCAGCUGAGCGGUCAGUGCAUCUGGAAGCCUUGAGAAGAAUUACAGAGAGUCUGCACCCUGCAGAGAGUGUUCUUCUCAGCACCACCCAUCGGAGAACAGACACAAAGAAGGUGGAGAGUGUUCAGUGCUGCACAGACUCCAGAAGUGACUUGGCACCAUGCCAGGAUGGGUACGUAAGAAACAGUGUGGAACUUUUGAGGUUAUAGAAUUAAAAUAUCUAGGCUAUAUUAUAUUAAUUAUAUAUAUUCUGAUACAGUAUAUGUU
rnacentral:lncRNA from 1 species